AUGGCCUUGCUUGUAGUGUUGGUCAUCUAGGAGUCGUGGAAUGAUAGAAAUGCAAGGGUUUUAAGAAUUAAGUCUACUAUGCCGACCAUAAUCAUUGCACACAUCAAGAAUGAGGUCAAGGAUUGGAUUACCGCCGGGGUGAAGCACUUGAGUUCACUCAUGUCGCGAGAGUAG
rnacentral:rRNA from 1 species